rnacentral:lncRNA from 1 species
GAUCUCUACUGAUCUGGGCGUGAUUGGGAGCUGACAUCCGGGACGCCAUGGCUGUGUUCGAAACGGAAGGAAAUCCGGAUGGCCGGAGACGCGCUGCAGAUUACUCGGAUGAACGCCUGAUUUGCUGGCUGCAUCGCGGGAUGAGAGGAGAUCAGGAAAAUGGCUGGAUGCACGGAAGGCGGGCUGCUCUGUGAGGCGGGAUCACGGGAAGGAUAGCGAACGGGAGGAAG